rnacentral:tRNA from 1 species
GCGCGGGUGGCGAAACCGGCAGACGCGCAAGCUUGAGGGGCUUGUGGGAGCAAUCCCGUGGAGGUUCAAGUCCUCUCCCGCGCA